GAGCGUAAUGACGUCACUCACAACAAACAACGAAGGCUCGGAGUGGUGAGGAAGCUACCUUCUACACUACUUUAUCGGUCAUGAUGGCUGUACUUGAAGAGCUAAGUAUUGUUUAGUUGGUAAAAAGCUUGAAAACCACUGCGCUACACUAAUUGGCAAGUGUCAUUUCACAGCUUGGCAAUAAAGUGGCCCCUCCAUGACUGAAACUACAAUAUGCUUGUUCUGUCUCUACCAGCUUGUAAGCUAAUGAAGCCCUACAUGAUGAGAUGAGAUGACCCUCAGAGCUCAGCGAUGAUGUGUUGCGGUUCCGCCGGACGGGCAAACACGAGGUCCAUGGCUCAGCUGAGGAGACGGCAACAUCUUGAUAGCAGCGCCCGCUAAAAGGCAGGGUGCGCGAAAACUGUGCUAAUACUACAGUACAUUCAGACUGCAGGCUAGAGUCACCUUGUCACUGUCCCCGGGCAAAUUUGAGCUUUCAGUCAUGUGACAUAGCUGGCAUAUCCUCAAACAUAAUCAAAGGUGUUAAUGGUUAUAAAACACCUAAAAAAUGUCCACACCCUGGUUCAAGUGCAUCAGCGGGACCAUGACAGCGCCAGAGUAUCAAAAGAUUUAUUUUAUUAGCUAAUUAGCUACAGAUGUCAGUAUUUUUCAUUUGUAAAAGUAAGUGUCAAGUAGGAUCGGCUUCUGGAGUGUGAAAAAGAAAUCUGUUCCUAUUAAUAUUCCCAUUCAUUUUAAUAAGGAAAGAUGACUCACGAUACGAGUGUUUUUAGUUACGAGCGUGGUCACGUAAAGUAUUAAACUUCUAUCUGAGGGCAUCACUGUAUUUUAUUAAAUAUCAAAGUAAGUUUACCAUAUACCAAAGUAAAUGGCAUAGCAACCCGAACAUAAUGGCUGAUGACUAGCAUGAAAAUGUCCAGCUUGGCUUAGCAACAAAUUGUUAAUUUUAUCCUUCCGUUAUGUCCCUUCUCCAUUACCUGUCUGUCAAGCAUGUUUAAAUGGUGAGCAGUUUUGCUUUAUUUGAAUUUUAUUGUACAGUGCUUAGCUUGUAUUUUAAGUAUGAAAAUAUCGAGACUAGUGAUCCACCAAAAUGAAAAUUCUUGGCCAAAACUGAAAACCGUAAAUAGGGCACCUAAGGCCAAAAGCCAAAGCCAAAACACCAAAAGAAAUUGCUAUGCCAAUUAUUACUAAAACUGCAUUUAUGACAAUGACUGCAGAGCUUCUAACCUACAGAAAUUCACUUCCAGAACAAUUUGUCUCAAUUUCCAUAUUUUUAAUAUUAUGUCAAGAACACUGUUCCAUGGUAACUGGGACAGUUAUUGCAGUAUAUUACCGUAUGUACAGUGGUGGGUAGAGUAGCCAAAUAUUGUACUCAAGUAAGAGUAUUGUUACCUUAGAAUAUGAAUCAAGUAAAAGUAAAAAGUAAUCCUCCAAAUAAUUACUUGAGUGAGAGUAAGAAAGUACUCAGUGAAAAAACUACCCGAGUACUGAGUAACACCUGAUUUUUUUUUUAAAUCAGAGCAUGAACAUCAAAUAAAAUAAAAACAACUAAAUAAAAUAUUAAUGUGCAAAUUCAGAUAUUACUGAACAAUAUCACUUAAUCUAAAACAUAAUAAAUACAAAUUUAUAAUAUAAAAUAUUUGUAAAAUAACAAAUUAAGGCUAAAUCAGCUCCAAAAAAAAUCAUCUUACACUGUAUUGUUUCUACUUGUUAAACAGCACAAUACUGUAGGCUCACCAGGCAGAUUACAAAAACAGGAACAAGGCUGCAGUGGAUAUAAAAAGUAUACACACCCUGUUCAAAUACCACCUUUUUGUCUUGUAAAAGAAGAAAUCAUUUAAAAACUUUUUUCACCAUUAAUGUCACCUACAAUUUGUACAACUCAACUGAUUAUUAUUUUUUUUAUCUUUUUAAGAGGGGAGGUGAAAAUAAACAACUGAAAUAAACUUGAAUGUGAUUGACUUGGACCUGAUGUUUAACUUGCUGCCUCCACAGCAAUUACAGGACACUUCUGUCAGUCUUUGUGCAUGUAAAACGGUAUCAAUUCACUUGCAUGUAUCCGCAGGCACACAUCCCUAAGACUCUUUCACUGUGUGUGUGUGUGUGUGUGUGUGUGUAAGAGAGAGAGAGAGAGAGAGAGGGAGAGAGAGAGAGAGAGAGAGAGAGAACAGAAUGUACCCCAGAAGAUGCAUGUUUUACACUUACUCGUGACCAACAGAAAGAGCUAAUGUUGCUUUAUGCACAGCCAAAACAACAACAAAAACAUCUGCAACAUACCACAAGGUGGUUUCUAAAGUUAGAAGAGGGCUGAAACAUACAAGUUUGGGCAGUGACAAAACUACGCUGCAAGUUAAAGCUGUUGUUUUGCGUAGUCUGUCAUGUACACAUGAGUUGCGCGAGGCUGUCACGACUUACUUUGAUUGGCCAGCGAAGCCCAAUAGAAGAGUUUGUGUUCAGACAUGUGACUUUCUUGUGUUGUUUGAUUGGUGAACUUGAGUCAAACAUCAUUGUGGUAAUCACGGUGGAUUGGAUCAACGGCGCCCGAUGCGGAAGUCGAAAACAAAUGUCUAAAAAUAGAUCAUGCACGCAAUUACUGAUAAAUGAAAGUCGCGAAAGGCAUGUAAAUUAUUGUAACAGAAUAAAAGUGUUUUGUGUUCCUCUUAACAAAUACUCGAGUAAAAUUAAAGAGUAUGCUUCAUUAAAACUACUCUGACAAGUACAAUUUAUCCAAAAUAUUACUUGAGUAAAUGUAACGGAGUACAUUUACUACCCACGUUACUACCCACCUCUAAAUUAUGUAAUAGGAUAAAAAUAAAUCUGUAUCCUGUUCAAAUGUGCAACAUAAUCAUUACCCUACAAUCGUAAUUGUUAAUAAAUUAUGGCUUCAAUGUUUGUUAUUUUAAUGUAUUUAUUGCAUCAACAUUGUUAUGUUGGA